ACGGUUACCUUGUUACGACUUAGCCCCAGUCACCAGUUUUACCUUAGGGCGCUCCUUGCGGUUGCACACUUCAGGCACUCCCGGCUUCCAUGGCUUGACGGGCGGUGUGUACAAGGCCCGGGAACGUAUUCACCGCGCCAUGGCUGAUGCGCGAUUACUAGCGAAUCCAGCUUCAUGGAGUCGAGUUGCAGACUCCAAUCCGAACUGAGACAGGCUUUCAAGUUCCGCUUUGCGUCGCCGCAUUGCUUCUCUCUGUACCUGCCAUUGUAACACGUGUGUCGCCCCGGACGUAAGGGCCGUGCUGAUUUGACGUCAUCCCCGCCUUCCUCACAGCUUGCGCCGGCAGUCUCGCCAGAGUCCCCAACUUGACUUGCUGGUAACUGGCGAUGGGGGUUGCGCUCGUUAUGGCACUUAAGCCGACACCUCACGGCACGAGCUGACGACAACCAUGCAGCACCUCGACACAGGCUCCUAAGAGCUACCUCCUUUCAAAAGUAUUCCUGUGUCGUUUGAGCCCGGGUAAGGUUCCUCGCGUAUCAUCGAAUUAAACCACAUGUUCCUCCGCUUGUGUGGGCCCCCGUCAAUUCCUUUGAGUUUCACCGUUGC
rnacentral:rRNA from 1 species